GGUUUUAUCUCUCUCGGCCACAUUGCAGUAGUGUUCCGCUCUCCAUACUAAAUAGGAAACUGGACGUGAUGUGGAAUUAGAGCCUCCCCAGCUGAAGCCACCCAACACUUACUACAAAUAUAGCCGCGAUGCGUAGGCCACAAAAUGGCUCCACUCACUUUUCCCAAUGAAAAGCAAAUGGAUUUAGCAGUUUUAUCCCGGUGCGGGUGUCCUUCCUCUCUGUAAAGUCGUAAGUACCUUGAGGUGGGAGGAGUAAAUUCAGCCUGACACCGAGAGCGCUUUUGUUGAAACGGGAGAGACUUGCGGUGUCCCUACUUAAAUAUGACACAUACAGAUGGUGAGAUAUGGCCAAAAAAAAGAGGGGGGUUUUCUCUCGCGAUUCAGCCCAGCAGAAACAAACAAACAAAAAAAAAUUAUCCAAGGCAGAGGAGCAAGGAGGAUGGGGAUGAGACCCGGUGUGUGGCAGCUCUCUGCCCCAGGAAGCUCCUUAUUUAUAGGAAAAAACCAAGCGAGGGGGGUGGUGGGAGAAACAGCAUGGCGUUAGUCGCGAUAGCGCUCCCUGCCCUUGGCGCGAGGUGCCCUGUCGCGACAGUAUU